AUUGAACGCUGGCGGCAGGCCUAACACAUGCAAGUCGAACGGUAACAGGAAGAAGCUUGCUUCUUUGCUGACGAGUGGCGGACGGGUGAGUAAUGUCUGGGAAACUGCCUGAUGGAGGGGGAUAACUACUGGAAACGGUAGCUAAUACCGCAUAACGUCGCAAGACCAAAGAGGGGGACCUUCGGGCCUCUUGCCAUCGGAUGUGCCCAGAUGGGAUUAGCUAGUAGGUGGGGUAACGGCUCACCUAGGCGACGAUCCCUAGCUGGUCUGAGAGGAUGACCAGCCACACUGGAACUGAGACACGGUCCAGACUCCUACGGGAGGCAGCAGUGGGGAAUAUUGCACAAUGGGCGCGAGCCUGAUGCAGCCAUGCCGCGUGUAUGAAGAAGGCCUUCGGGUUGUAAAGUACUUUCAGCGGGGAGGAAGGGAGUAAAGUUAAUACCUUUGCUCAUUGACGUUACCCGCAGAAGAAGCACCGGCUAACUCCGUG
rnacentral:rRNA from 1 species